UUCCGGUGAAGUGCGUGCUUGUGCGUGCUU
rnacentral:sRNA from 1 species